GCUUAAUUAAACAUUUUAGGACCUUAUAUUAUAACACAAACAAACCAAUCUCGUUAUCAGGAAACAAAUUGUAUCCGCUCAGCUGAACGGUGAACAAGUUGACCAUUCCAUCCUCCAAUCUGCCUUGUCACUAAUAGGAGGACCCCUACAAAAAUCAUGUUCGGCCUACGAACAAGUAGAUGACUGCAACGAUUGCGACAAAGAGUGCAAAAUUAGUGGCAGUGACUUCUGGGGAGAGUGUAGUAUGUGGCCGUUCCGUGAUUGCUACUGCUAUUGGAAAUGUUGAUAGCCAAAUCAUGAUCAUAUAUAAAUAUAUAUAAUAUCAAAUCCCCGUAUGUGCUUGCUCUGUGUUUUGGAUGCGUUUCUAUUUUACCAUGUUUGAUAGCUAUUCAGCUAUUCUGUUCGUUUGUCUGUUUCUCUUGUGUUCGUGGUAAACUGGUAAUCCAGGGUUCUUGUUGAUGUUUAAUGAAUACCUUUGUGCAUU